rnacentral:tRNA from 1 species
GCCGAUGUGAUGGAAUGGCAGACAUGGUAGACUCAAAAUCUACUGGUAGCGAUACCGUGCCGGUUCGAGUCCGGCCAUCGGUA